UACGGGGGGAGCAAGCGUUGUUCGGAUUUACUGGGCGUAAAGGGCGCGUAGGCGGUCAGCACAAGUCAGUUGUGAAAUCUCCGGGCUUAACUCGGAAAGGUCAACUGAUACUGUGCGACUAGAGUGCAGAAGGGGCAAUCAGAAUUCUUGGUGUAGCGGUGAAAUGCGUAGAUAUCAGGAAGAACACCAAUGGCGAAGGCAGCUCUCUGGGACGGUACUGACGCUGAGACGCGAAAGCGUGGGGAGCGAACAGG
rnacentral:rRNA from 1 species